AGAGUUUGAUCAUGGCUCAGGAUGAACGCUGGCGGUAUGCCUAACACAUGCAAGUCGUACGAGAGUUUUUAACUCUAGUGGCGGACGGGUGAGUAACACGUAAGAAUUUACCUUCAGGAGGGGGAUAACAAUUGGAAACAAAUGCUAAUACCCCAUAUGCUUUCGAGUGAAAUGGAUUUAUAUUUAUCCGCCUAAAGAGAAGCUUGCGUCUGAUUAGCUUGUUGGUAAGGUAAAAGCUUACCAAGGCGACGAUCAGUAUCUGGUUUGAGAGGACGAUCAGACACACUGGAACUNANACACGGUCCAGACUCCUACGGGAGGCAGCAGUGGGGAAUUUUCCGCAAUGGGCGAAAGCCUGACGGAGCAAUACCGCGUGAGGGAAGACUGCCUAUGGGUNGUAAACCUCUUUUUUCAGGGAGGAACAAAAUGAA
rnacentral:rRNA from 1 species